GGAAAACCGUUCCUACCCCAAAGAGCUGCGAGGGUGAGGAGCAGCCGGAGCCAGGCCCCGGAGCCCAUCCCGGGAUCACGGAGCCUCGGCGGCCCCGGGGCUCAGAGCGGGUGCUGGCAGGAAGAUCUUCACCCCCCGGCCUCUCAUUUCCUGUUUUUUGGGUCCAAUCUUCACCUUUUAUCUCCUUCGGUCGGAAAUUAUUCAAAGCGCGGCGCUGCGCUCCGCGGCCCUGAGGUGAAAAAAGGGAAAAAGCAGAAGAAAGCAGAAAAAGGGGUUCGGUUUUUCCUCCAGGAUUCCGUCCUCCUGCUGAGGGGGGCCUCGAACUGCUCUGGAAAAAAAGAGGGAAAAUCCCGUUUUGGAGGAAUUUCCUGGAUUUUUCCAGCUCUGGAGAGGUGGAAGGUUCGAAGCGAUCCCGCUAAAGGACGUGGGCGGCUCCUCGGAGCAUCCCAAAAUCUGCUCCGCCCCCCCAGGGGUGGGACCACCCAGAAAGGGGAGAGAACCCCAAAUUUCCCGGGAAUAUCCCAGCCUGGAGCUCCGCGGGAUCCACGGAAGGAGGAGAAGGACGGGAGGUCCCCAAAACUCACCUGGAGAAGCCAAAUCCUCGUUCUGGGUGGGGUUGGGACCACCUGGAGAUGGGGAUGGACCUUCCCGCUGGAAUGGCCGGGAAAGGCUGGGAAAAUCCAGCCGUGGAUCUGCUGCUGGAAAAUCUUGACUGGUUUUACUGGAGCAGCUUUGAAAUUGAAUUUUUUUUGCCUUUUUCUCGCCCCAAAUUUCGCCGCUUUUCCCAAUUUUCAGGGCGUGGGCGGAGCAGGAAUUCCAGGAUCCCUGAGGCUGGAGAAGAGCUCCGGGAUCCAACAAUCCCAGGUGUCACCGACUCCCACCUCGCUGCUCCUUGGACACCUCCAGGGAUGGAAAUUCCAGGAUUUGGACCCAAACCCAGUCCCGGGGUUGGAUCACAUCCCGCUGCUCUCCAGGGAAACCCAGCUCGGAGUUUGCCCCGAGGUUUUGCUGCCGGGAAAUGAUUUUUGA
rnacentral:lncRNA from 1 species